rnacentral:rRNA from 1 species
AGUGAACGCUGGCGGCGUGCUUAACACAUGCAAGUCGAACGAGAACGGAUUAUAGCUUGCUAUAAUUGUCAGCUAAGUGGCGCACGGGUGAGUAAUGUAUAGGUAAUAUGCCUCUUACUAAGGGAUAACAAAUGGAAACGUUUGCUAAUACCUUAUACUCCUUAUUAACAGAAGUUAAUAAGGGAAAGAUUUAUUGGUAAGAGAUUAGCCUGUAUUGUAUCAGUUAGUUGGUGGGGUAAUGGCUUACCAAGACUAUGACACAUAACUGGUUUGAGAGGAUUAUCAGUCACACUGGAACUGAGACACGGUCCAGAGUCCUACGGGAGGCAGCAGUGGGGAAUCUUGCGCAACGGACGAAAGGCUGAUGCAGCAACGCCGCGUAGACGAUGACACAUUUCAGGGCGUAAACGCCUUUUAGGUGAGGAGAUACUGACGGUAUUAGAUGCAUAAGCACCGGCUAACUCCGUGCCAGCAGCCGCGGUAG